CUGCAGAGGAGCACCCCAUGGAAGGUCCGGCUCACCUGACGUUAAACAGCGAAGUAGGGUCCUUACUGUUCUCCGAGGGGGGGGCCGGGAGAGGAGGAGCCGGCGAUGUGCACCAGCCAACGAAAGG